rnacentral:tRNA from 1 species
GCUCGAGUGGUGGAAUUGGUAGACACGCAGGACUUAAAAUCCUGUGGCCAGAAUGGCUGUGCGGGUUCAAGUCCCGCCUCGAGUA